rnacentral:hammerhead_ribozyme from 1 species
GCACUGCUGAGGAGUCUUAAAAUAGGACGAAACGGCUGUCUAGUGC